rnacentral:miRNA from 1 species
CUGGGCUGUCCUGGUGCAGGAAGCACCUUCAGGAGGCGGCUGUGGUGUAGACCAAGGGAACGCUGGACUUGGAGUCAGAAGACCUGA